rnacentral:antisense_RNA from 1 species
AGGCGAGAGCCGCGGCUGACAGGGUCUGGGACAGAAGGAAAGCCCUCCGGCCUCCAGGCCCUGCCUUCUGCCUGCACAUUCUGCCCUGAUUUCCGGAACCUGGAAGCCUAGGCAGGCAGGGGGGAACUCUGACUCGCCUGUGCUCUGAAGCUUGAUCCGAAAGCUUCCACAGUGAGGACUGCUCCGUGGGGGUAAGAGAGCACCAGGCACUGAGGCCUGGGAGCUCCACAGACCAACACCCCUGCUCCUGGCGGCUCCUACCUGGGACUUAGACCCUCAGGUCCCUAAUAUCCCGGAGGUGCUCUCAAUCAGAAAGGUCCUGCUCCGCUUCUCAGUGGAAUGGAACGGAUUUAGAAGCCUGCAGUAGGGGAGUGGGGAGUGGAGAGAAGGAGCCCAGAGUUACAGACAGCGGCGAGAGGAAGGAGGGGCGUCUUUAUUUUUUUAAGGCCCCAAAGAGUCCGAAGUUUACAAGACCAGAAAUGCCACGGCCGCGUCCUGGCAGAGAGAAAAGGCUGAAAUGGAGGAGCGGCGCCUUCCUUAUAAGCUCGUUGGGGCCUAAGCCAGUACCGACCUGGUAGAAAAGCAACCACGAAGCUAGAGAGAGAGCCAGAGGAGGGAAGAGAGCGCCAGACGAAGGUGAAAGCGAACCACGCAGAGAAAUGUAGGCAAGGGAGCAAGGCGGCAGUUCCCGGAACAAACGUGGCAGAGGGCAAGACAGGCACUCACAGACAGAGGUUUAUGUAUUUUUAUUUUUUUAAAAUCUGAUUUGGUGUACCAUGAGGAAAAGGGAAAAUCUGGGGAAUUGGAGUACAGAGAGAAUAAUCCGGGUCCUAGCUCGCCACAUGAACGCCCAGAAGGAGAGAACGCUGGAAAAACCUGAGCGGGUGCCGGGACAGCACCCGGCUCGGGUCAGCCACUGCCCCACA